rnacentral:misc_RNA from 1 species
AAGUCGUAACAAGGUAUCCGUAGGUGAACCUGCGGAUGGAUCAUUAGCGUAGCGAAGAACACGUCAGUUCUUACACUACCCACCCUUGUGGUCUAAUAAUGUCAGUGUGCGUGGUGUGCGAGAGGGGGAGAGUGGCGCCUAGCGCUGCCGCCGCCGCCGCCGCCACCAUGCCGCGCCUACAAACCCUUUAACGUAGUGAAACUCUUGCUGAAGCAACCUUGCGGCGGAUCGAGCUUGCUCGUGAGGCUUCAAGUAAAACGAACAAUCCAAUACAACUGCUAGCAACGGAUCACUCGGCUCUC